rnacentral:lncRNA from 1 species
AGCAGCUGAUGAACAGAUAAAUUUAAAAAAAUUUAUUUCGCUGAUGCUUUUCUCCAAAGUGACUCCAGUGCUACCUACAGUGAUUUACCCAGGUGUCCAGCUUGUCAGUUCUGGGUGAUACCUUGAUCACGGGCACUGCAGCAGGAGGUGGGAUUGAAAAGUGGUUCCUUUGAAUCCAAAGCUGGCAGUUCUAACAACUACACCACCUGCUGGCCACACGUGCAAUGUCCUAACUAGCAGCGUCAAGCGUCCUGUCGCUCGACCAUUUAACGGCACGCUUGAGCGCGGUGCAGCCAGAGAGAGGUGGGAUGGCGGAAAUCUGCGAGCAGGUAGGUGGCCAGGAUGGCGGCAGGCGGCAGGGUUCACUGCUUGAUGGACGGAGUGUGAAGGAAUGCGCAUUGCUUUUCCGCGUUACCCGACACGCGUCAUUAGCAGUGGGCCUGCGAGAGCCUGAAGACGAGGGGCCGAGCCGAGAGCACCUGAGACAAAUGAGCAAAUGAGGCCAGGGUCGCGCAGGAGGCACAGGACAUAUUUACUCGGGUGAAUAUAGGUACAGAUGGAAUGCGGUCUCCAUGAACCACCCCUGAGAAGCUGUCAGCGGUUUUAUCUCGACUGUCUCGGAUUGGCAACAUGGAAACAAGGUAUAGAUGCUCAGUGCUCAGCCCCUUGACCGGCCCUGUUGGUCUUCGGAGUGUCUGCAGGAUCAUCGCAGUCCUCCACUCCAGAAGGAGAGACCAUGUAUCUCCAUCAGUGGCCAAAGGUAACGAUCGCCUUCAUCUCCACGCCAGGGGUGUCCUGCUUCCUGGAUGCGGAUGAAAGCGCGAAACGAGCCGUGCUCCAGCAUGCAGCCCUCGCGCUCUGGACGCCUUCCAUCUGCUCGCGGGGUAUCAGCCGAGGCCAGACGUGGGAAAGCUGCCUGAGAAGGUCAGCUGUUUGGAGAAGGGCGCUUGUACUCGCGCACUGCCACGCAGGGGUGAGGUGCUACUUCGAACUGGCUGCAAAACAAGUCUUGCUUCUGAGGCAUCGCAGACGUGUUGGUCUUGCAAUACCCACGCGUGUCCGUUUCCCACCAGGAUGGUGGAGGGAUCAGUACUGCGGAGAGGGUGAGGAAGAGAUGUCCUGCCCG